AACGAUAUAUUUUAACUUUGGAAGAUUAUGUGCUCUGCAAGCAUGAGGUGGGUUGUUUACUCUGUCGUUG
rnacentral:tRNA from 1 species